rnacentral:rRNA from 1 species
GUCUGCUUGAACACAAAAACAGUCCAGCCUGCCCACUGAGAACUUUAAACGGCCGCGGUAUCCUGACCGUGCAAAGGUAGCAUAAUAAUUAGUCUUUUAAUUAAAGACCAGAAUGAAAGGCUAGACAAGAAAUACCCUGUCUCCUUUAUAAACACCGAACUUCACUUUUAAGUGAAAAGGCUUAAAUUCACUAAGGGGACGAUAAGACCCUAUAAAACUUUAUUUGUGCUAAAUAAAUUUCAAACUUUUUUUCUUAACGCAAUUUACUUUCACACUAAUUUCGUUGGGGCGACGAAAGCAUAAUAAAUAACUGCUUUUCCAUUCAACAACUAUAAUUGAAAUCCAACGAUCCUUUCUUUAGACUUCAAGAAAAAGUUACUUUAGGGAUAACAGCGUCAUUUUUUUUAAGAGUCCUUAUCGACAAAAAAGAUUGCGACCUCGAUGUUGAAUUAAAUUCUCCUUCUAGAGUAGAAACUAUAAAGGAAGGUCUGUUCGACCUUUAAAAUUUUACAUGAUUUGAGUUCAAACCGGCGUAAG